rnacentral:rRNA from 1 species
GAUCCUGGCUCAGAUUGAACGCUGGCGGCAUGCCUUACACAUGCAAGUCGAACGGCAGCGGGCCUUCGGGUGCCGGCGAGUGGCGAACGGGUGAGUAAUGCAUCGGAACGUGCCAUUGAGUGGGGGAUAACGUAGCGAAAGUUACGCUAAUACCGCAUAUUCUGUGAGCAGGAAAGCAGGGGACCGCAAGGCCUUGCGCUCUUUGAGCGGCCGAUGUCAGAUUAGCUAGUUGGUGAGGUAAAGGCUUACCAAGGCGACGAUCUGUAGCGGGUCUGAGAGGAUGAUCCGCCACACUGGAACUGAGACACGGUCCAGACUCCUACGGGAGGCAGCAGUGGGGAAUUUUGGACAAUGGGCGCAAGCCUGAUCCAGCCAUGCCGCGUGAGUGAAGAAGGCCUUCGGGUUGUAAAGCUCUUUCGGCCGGGAAGAAAUCGCAUGGGUUAAUACCCUGUGUGGAUGACGGUACCGGAAUAAGAAGCACCGGCUAACUACGUG